rnacentral:rRNA from 1 species
GCGCUAAAUGAUGAGCNUAAGUCGGAUUAGCUAGUUGGUGGGGUAAAGGCCUACCAAGGCGACGAUCUGUAGCGGGUCUGAGAGGAUGAUCCGCCACACUGGGACUGAGACACGGCCCAGACUCCUACGGGAGGCAGCAGUGGGGAAUAUUGGACAAUGGGCGAAAGCCUGAUCCAGCCAUGCCGCGUGUGUGAAGAAGGCCUUUUGGUUGUAAAGCACUUUAAGCGAGGAGGAGGCUACUAGUACUAAUACUACUGGAUAGUGGACGUUACUCGCAGAAUAAGCACCGGCUAACUCUGUGCCAGCAGCCGCGGUAAUACAGAGGGUGCGAGCGUUAAUCGGAUUUACUGGGCGUAAAGCGUGCGUAGGCGGCUUUUUAAGUCGGAUGUGAAAUCCCCGAGCUUAACUUGGGAAUUGCAUUCGAUACUGGGAAGCUAGAGUAUGGGAGAGGAUGGUAGAAUUCCAGGUGUAGCGGUGAAAUGCGUAGAGAUCUGGAGGAAUACCGAUGGCGAAGGCAGCCAUCUGGCCUAAUACUGACGCUGAGGUACGAAAGCAUGGGGAGCAAACAGGAUUAGAUACCCUGGUAGUCCAUGCCGUAAACGAUGUCUACUAGCCGUUGGGGCCUUUGAGGCUUUAGUGGCGCAGCUAACGCGAUAAGUAGACCGCCUGGGGAGUACGGUCGCAAGACUAAAACUCAAAUGAAUUGACGGGGGCCCGCACAAGCGGUGGAGCAUGUGGUUUAAUUCGAUGCAACGCGAAGAACCUUACCUGGCCUUGACAUACUAGAAACUUCCAGAGA